GAUGAACGCUGGCGGCGUGCCUAAUACAUGCAAGUCGAGCGAACAGAUGAGGAGCUUGCUCCUCUGACGUUAGCGGCGGACGGGUGAGUAACACGUGGAUAACCUACCUAUAAGACUGGGAUAACUUCGGGAAACCGGAGCUAAUACCGGAUAAUAUAUUGAACCGCAUGGUUCAAUAGUGAAAGACGGUUUUGCUGUCACUUAUAGAUGGAUCCGCGCCGCAUUAGCUAGUUGGUAAGGUAACGGCUUACCAAGGCAACGAUGCGUAGCCGACCUGAGAGGGUGAUCGGCCACACUGGAACUGAGACACGGUCCAGACUCCUACGGGAGGCAGCAGUAGGGAAUCUUACGCAAUGGGCGAAAGCCUGACGGAGCAACGCCGCGUGAGUGAUGAAGGUCUUCGGAUCGUAAAACUCUGUUAUUAGGGAAGAACAAAUGUGUAAGUAACUAUGCACGUCUUGACGGUACCUAAUCAGAAAGCCACGGCCAACUACGUG
rnacentral:rRNA from 1 species